CCUACGGGGUGCAGCAGUGAGGAAUAUUGGUCAAUGGGCGGAAGCCUGAACCAGCCAAGUAGCGUGCGGGAUGAAGGCCCUACGGGUCGUAAACUGCUUUUGCACGGGGAUAACACCCUGCACUUGUGGAGGUCUGCAGGUACCGUUAGAAUAAGGGCCGGCUAAUUCCGUGCCAGCAGCCGCGGUAAUACGGAGGGACCGAGCGUUAUCCGGAUUCAUGGGGGUAAACGGGUGUGGAGGCGUGUGUCAAGGCCAGAGGGAAAAUCGCGCGGCUCACCCGGGCCCCGCAUUUGAAACUGGGCGCCUGGAGUGCACAAGAGGCAGGUGGAAUUCGUGGUGUAGCGGUGAAAUGCGUAGAUAUCAGGAGGAACCCCGGUGGCGAAGGCGGCCUGCUGGAGUGUGACUGACGCUGAGGCUCGAAGGUGUGGGUAGCAAACAGGAUUAGAUACCCUGGUAGUC
rnacentral:rRNA from 1 species